GGGCGUGUGGUCCAGUGGUCAAGACUUCUAUGUACUAGUUUCUCUUACCUCCUUCUCACCCUACCAUGUAGCUGUGAUGAAGUCGUACAAGUCCAAGGCAGUCCUCCAUAGAGGCCUGGGUUCGAACCCCAGCGCGUCCA